UCAAUCAAAUUUCGCACCUCUUACUACGAGAGGGAGACAGAGUUCGUGACUAGGGUUUACGAAAUUGUUCAGAGUAUUAUGGCGGCCUGCGGUUUGCAGUUUCGAAUUGCCAAUUACAUCUGGUAUUAUUAGCACUUUUUGAAUUGUCAAUUCCGUCACGAGAAGAACUUAUCGGAAGGAACUGGUACUAGUGGCAUAAUUGUAAGUAGUCGUGUAGAUUCAUAGAUAACAAUCAGGAAACCGUCAAUGCCAAAAAUACUCCGGUUGGGACAGAUCACUUCUGUAGACUGCGGUUUGAAUUCUGUUGAUGGAUAAGAAGCAGACGAAAAUCUGAUUCCAAGAAUUAGUGCUAGUAGCACUGCAAGUGGUCAUAUUGAUGGAAACUAAACAAUAUGACGGUGGGAGAGAGAUAUCGUUGUUUGAGGGAAUCAACUCCAUGGCGGUGUUCGCUUCUCCCACUCCGACAUUGCCUCCUCCUAUUCUUGUCAUUCUGAACCCCACUUCCUCUGUCUUAGGUUUCGAGCUGCAACUUCCGUUGAUGGAUCAGAGAAAUAGAGGAAGAACUGAUCCCAAGAAACCUGUAGUAGUUGCACUGUAAGCGAUCGUGUGGGUUCAAGCAAACCAAUAUGACGGUGGGGGAGACAAAUUUCGCGUUGUUUUUUAGAGAUUCAAGGUGGAAGAUCCAUGGCUGCCUCCAUCCACUUGGGAGUCAAUUCCUUCUGAAGGUCGCGUUCGGCUUCUCCUACCCUGACAUUGCCUCCACCCAUUCUUCUCCAUCCGAUCCCCACUCUCAAACUGCUUCUGUAUCUCUGAUGGCGAGGAAUGUUUCUCACUUGAAAAGCUGGAAGAUGAGAUUGAAAAAUAAAGUCUGGAGGCCAGUGUGGUGAGAUUGGAUUUAAAUGCUUUACAAGGUGUACAGGCAGCCCUCAUAAGCAGUCAGAAACUCUCUGCUGCAUUCUGUUCUGAGCCAGCUGAUCAGACCUUCCAUCAAAUUCCAAGUCUAUGGAAUAGGUCUUCGAGCACUUAUGCUCUGGGGGUAUAUGCUUAACUCCAUAGGCUGCUCAGGUUGCCUAGUGUUUCUUCACCUUGUGGCGGUACUGCUUCAGCCACUGAAUACUCGAAUGGUUGAGUAGCUGAUCUCAAUAAACUGUCAAUGCAACUAUGUAAGAAAAACGCUGCUGGGGAAGAAUCAAUUAACAAGACUACAGAAAAGUUCUUGCGAAUUGUUUUAGUAGAUGCUGUAAUGAGGGGUAGAAUCAGUCUCAUUCAAUUCUGACUGACAAUCUGUUAAGUUAUUUCUUAAAUUAUUUGUGAAAAAAGAAAGAGUGUACUUGAGUUGUGCCCAGGUACCAAAAACUAUUUGGUGGUAAUUUAUGCAUCUUGUGGUUACUGUACUGCUAGCGGGAACUCGUUUUUGGAAGGGCAAGUUUCAAGCUCAGUGAGGGGACUCUGUAUUUUCACUCUUUAUAUUGCAGUGUCUAAUCUCUUACACUUUGAUAAGAACAUGAUUAACACUUUCUUCAGGGAAACUCAAAUGAGAGAGAGUGGAGCCAAGAAAAAGAGCCAUCUCUUUCGGGCUAAUCGACAGACAGAAGGGAAUGAACUCAGGCCUCAAAAGAGAAUCUGAUUAUCUAGACUUAGAGAAAGAAGCUGUGUGUGGCAAUGGUCGUCACAAGAGAGGGAGUGGCUGGUAGCUCUCUCCCACGUUAUCUUUCAUGUUGUUUUUCCAACCUCAUACUUAAAAUAACAUUUCUAAUCAACUACUGUUUGUGCUUUGUCUUUUUGUAAGUUGCCAUUAUUGCUUCCCACACUGAUUUGUUCCAUUUCUUUAAUUACAUUUUAAAUGGGUAAGUUAGUGCGAAAUCGCUGUGGGUUAUUAUUUACCGCAGGAUUCAAGAAACGGAGUCAAUUCUUAUCCGCCACGUGGUAUGGAAGUGGGUCCCAGAUCAUACUUGGUUGUGAUCCCGCGCCCUCUUAUAAAAUGCGACUGUUUGGCCUUUUUCACCCACUCUGCGAUGCAAGGCAGGCAGGUACUUCUUCCUCUCAAACUCAACUGCUGAAGACGAUACGCUUUCAGCUGAGCUGUUCUGACGCUGAAUCAUCAAGAAUCAGUGAAAUUCUUAUUAUUUGGCGGCAGCAAUAUGGACUAUGUUUAUGGACCAGGAAGGAACCAUCUAUUUGUUCCUGGGCCAGUUAACAUCCCAGAGCCGGUCAUCCGGGCAAUGAACAGGAACAAUGAGGAUUAUCGUUCUCCGGCUGUUCCUGCGCUGACAAAAACUCUGCUUGAAGAUGUGAAAAAGAUCUUUAAGACAGCCAGUGGCACUCCAUUUAUGAUCCCGACCACGGGAACUGGUGCAUGGGAGAGUGCACUUACCAACACACUGUCACCAGGAGAUCGAAUUGUGUCUUUCCUGAUUGGUCAAUUCAGUUUGCUCUGGAUUGAUCAACAGAAGCGCCUUGGCUUCAAGGUCGAUGUUGUAGAAAGUGACUGGGGUGAAGGUGCCAAACUCGACGUUCUGGCAUCAAAACUUGCGGCAGAUACUGCACAUACCAUUAAGGCCAUUUGCAUUGUUCAUAAUGAGACAGCAACUGGAGUAACCAACAACUUGGCUACGGUCAGAAAAAUACUUGAUCACUAUCAGCAUCCGGCCCUCUUUCUUGUUGAUGGAGUGUCAUCAAUAUGUGCUCUUGAUUUCCGUAUGGAUGAAUGGGGAGUAGACGUAGCUUUAACUGGCUCUCAGAAAGCUCUUUCUCUUCCAACUGGGAUGGGCAUUGUUUGUGCCAGCCCCAAAGCUUUAGAAGCUUCUAAAACUGCAAAAUCUGUGAGAGUUUUCUUUGACUGGAAUGACUAUUUGAAGUUUUACAAGAUGGGAACAUUUUGGCCAUACACCCCUUCCAUCCAACUAUUGUAUGGACUCAGAGCAGCUCUUGACCUGAUUUUUGAGGAAGGACUUGAUAAUGUCAUUGCAAGACACACUCGUCUUGGCAAAGCAACACGACUGGCUGUGGAAGCUUGGGGCCUUAAGAACUGCACUCAAAAGGAAGAAUGGUACAGUGAUACAGUAACUGCGGUUAUGGUUCCCCCAUAUAUAGAUAGUUCAGAAAUUGUCAGAAGUGCAUGGAAGAGAUACAAUUUAAGCUUGGGUUUGGGCCUUAACAAAAUUGCUGGGAAGGUAUUCAGAAUUGGGCAUCUUGGAAACUUGAAUGAGUUGCAACUAUUGGGUUGUCUUGCUGGUGUUGAGAUGGUACUUAAAGAUGUGGGAUACCCAGUAAAGCUGGGAAGUGGAGUUGCAGCUGCCUCUGCUUACCUACAGAACACCACUCCUGUGAUCCCUUCGAGGAUUUAACUGCCCUGCGAUCUUGUUGAACCUGACAUCUAUAAAUUGAUAGCAGCAAACACAUUACUAAUUUGAAAGUAAAGUUGGGUGAAUCUCUGCCUUCUUCUUCACAUUGCUUCAGCAAGCUCUUGAUGAUUUUUUGGGAGGAAACGAAGCUGGAGCUGUUUGAUUGAAGCUCAGGCAGUGUGCUUUGAAUGCCAACAUCCAUAGUAAUGGUCUCGACAUCCUUGGUAACCAUCUCGACAUCCUUUGCUUCUGAAAUUUGAUAAAUAACUUCAAAAUUGAACUCCAAAAUAACACUUGAAGAACACAAAACAUAAGUAAUAGAAGAGAUGCAACAUGUGUUUUUA